GUUUAACAUGAUGGACUAUAGGACAGGACUGCUGCUGUUAACUGUCUGCUGGGCAGGUGUUGAUGGUCAGACUCUGACAGAAUCUGAACCAGUGGUUAAAAGGCCUGGAGAAUCUCACAAAUUGACCUGUACAGCAUCUGGAUUCACAUUCAGCAGCUACGCUAUGAACUGGGUCAGACAGGCUCCUGGAAAAGGACUGGAGUGGCUUGCCUGGAUUGAUAGCGGUAGUGGUAGCACAAAGUACUACUCUGAGUCAGUCAAAGGACGGUUUACCAUCUCCAGAGACAACAGCAGACAGCAGGUGUAUCUGCAGAUGAGCAGUCUGAAGACUGAAGAUUCUGCUGUUUAUUAUUGUGCUCGACAGCCACAGUGACUGGAGUUGGUUGAGCAGCUGUACAAAAACCUACGGUACACGUCUUUACUGGACUGAAGGAGCCCAAGCACGAAGUGUUUUAUUUCAUGCACAAUUAUAUUGCAACUUUAAAUUUUUUUCCUUGGAUCAUGACACAAAUCUUGAUCUUGAGAAAACGUUUUACAAGAUCUCCCAGAAAACUUC